UUUCAGCUGCUGUCUCUGCUGGGAGGAAAGUCCUGCUACUGAACUGAUGCUGCCUUUGCUCAGUGACAUGACCAGUAAGAAAAUAAUUGCAGUGUUUGGAGCAACAGGAGCUCAGGGUGGCUCUGUGGCCAGGGCCAUUUUAGAGAGCAAAAAGUAUGCGGUGAGAGCACUGACCAGGGAUGUGAGCCGACCAAAUGCACAGGUGCUCCGGAACCUUGGGGCUGAGGUGGUAAAAGGGGACCUGAAUGACAAAGCAUCAGUGGAGGCCGCUUUGAAAGGAGCCUACGGGGCCUGGGGCCUUCGUGGUGACCAAUUUCUGGGACCAUUUCAGCAAAGAGAAAGAAGUGUGUCAGGGAAAAAUGGUGGCUGAUGCCGCCAAGCACCUGGAUCUGAAGCAUGUGUUGUACAGCGGCCUGGAGAAUGUCAAGCACCUGACAGGUGGCAAGUUGGAAGUGCCGCACUUUGACGGGAAGGGAGAGGUAGAGGAGUAUUUCUGGUCCACUGUUGUUCCCAUGACCAGCGUCCGUAUGGCAGCUUACUUUGAAAACUUUCUUGGCUCAUGGAAGCCAGUGAAAGCCUCUGAUGGAGAUGACUACACCCUGGCACUGCCUAUGGGGGACGUACCAAUGGAUGGUAUCUCUGUUGCUGAUGUUGGAGCGGUUGUCUGUAGCAUUUGAAAUUCUCCAGAGGAGUUUGUAGGCAAGGCCGUGGGUCUCAGUGCAGAAGCACUGACAGUACAGCAACAUGCUGAUGUUUUGUCCAAGGGUUUGGGGAAAGAAGUCGGACAUGCAAAGAUCACCCCGGAAGCUUAUGAGAAGCUGGAAUUUCCUGCAGUGAAGGAAAUGGCCAACAUGUGUUGUUUCUAUCAUAUGAAGCCGGAUCGUGAUACCGCAUGCACCCACCGACUGAACCCCAAAGUCAAAAGCUUCAGCCAGUUCAUGUCAGAGACCCAGGCAGCCUUGAAGGGCAUUUAAGCUGUUCACACAGGCUCCUGAGCACACAACGUCCUUUCUCCCAGAUCCUGGUCCUCUUUAUA